AAUAUAUUCCUCUUAAGAGUCGUGGACAAAUAUAAUAGCCAAAAGAAAACAAAGCAAGAUUCAAAAAUGAAUGACAAUGGCGAAAGACUAACCACAAUAUGGCAACAUCCUUACAACAUCAACUUGCAGUAUUUCCAUGGUUCCCUCCAAUACCCUUUUUUGUCCUAUAAAUAAUAAUUAAUUUCUUCAUUUCAACCUUAAUUCAUAGCUUCUUUUAAUUUUUUUUCCUAUCUCAAAAUUCUAAUAUAUUUGAAGCUCAUUUAUAACCAUUUAAAGGUGCGCUAUUUUUAUAUUGUUUAUCAAAAUUUAGAUAGUUUAUAAUUUUGUUAUUUAUUAGGCUGAAAUAUUCAUUAAAGAUUUUUCAAUUAUUUUUAAAAUUUUACGAUCUCUAUGUUUCAAAAUUAUAAAAUUUUAUGCAAAACAAUGAAAGAAAAUUAGAUUAUGAGCAUACAUAAUUUGGAGUAGUUUUUAAUGUGCUUUAAAAUUGAUUGAUAUUGGUGCAUAUAAAUAUAUUUACUAAUGUUGCAACAUCAAAUUUGGAUUCUUGAUUGAAUUCUUUCCUUUCAAAUAAUGUACAUGUUCUAUGCGUACAAAUGUCAUUUUGACUGUAACUUGGUUGUUAUCUGCGAUAUAAAAUUUAUUACUUGAUAUUAGUAUGUCGUUUUGAAUAUUUUUAUUUUUUACUUUAUUUUUUUAUAGUACUACCUACGUUUUUAGAGUAGGUUUAUAUGUUUCUGUUUUCAAAUGUUAUUUCCAUUCACUUUUUUCGCAGAUCUCAAUGCAAACUCUAAAUCAAAAACUUUUAAUUGUGAAGUUUUUAAAAUUCGAAAAAAUUAAUACAUAGAAAGUUUAUAUUGUGGCGAAUUUAAGAAGAUCUUACAUGAAUAUGUUUUUCUUAUAGAUUAAUGAGAAAUCAUAAUUAAAGUUUGACAUUAAAAUUUAUAAAAAUAUUGUAUUUGAGAAGAGCAUAUGAAAACGUAGGAAGUAUGAUUUUGAUGGUAUAUAUUGUUCUAGAUAUAUCUAAAUAAAAUACUUUAAAAAUGUUUUAAUAAAACUAACAAUCGCAGAUACCCACUAAGCUACAAACAAAUAUGAUGUUUACAAACAUUUGGAAGAUGAAAUUACUAUUGGAUAGGAGAGAAUCAAAUCAAGUAUCCAAUUUUGAUGGUGUAACAUUAACAAGUAUGUUAGGUAUACACCAAAGUCAAUUAAAUAAUAAAGGCUCAUUAAAAAGCAAAUCAAAAUUGUGUUAUGCUUAUGUAUUCUUUCAAUUGAUUUGUCAUAAAUAUUAUUUUUUUUAAUUAUGGGGAAAGUAAAAUUAGGAAAAUAUAUAGAAAAAUUGUUUGAUGUUCUUCAGCCAUAAUGAAUGACAUAAUUAUCUACUACUUAAAUUUUAGGAUUGUAUGUUUCUUUCUUAAUUUCGAAGAGAAAUAUAACAUUGCUACAUGUUAUCGGUGAACGUUUCAUGAUUGUUUCAUGGAAACAAUUGAUGAUAAGUGAAGCAAAGACUUUAGAGAUAUAUAUAUAUAUAUAUCAAGGUACGCUUUUACAAAAGAAAUCGCAGAACUAUUUAUUUAAAUGUUCAUCAUCUUCGAUUAGUCUACUUAAAAUUGUAGAUAUUGUUAAUUAGUUGCAUGAUUAGAUAAUUUUUUAAUUGAUUACUUUAACAAGUUUUAGCAAUCCCUUUAAGGUUACAGGCGAUCAUUUUAAGACAAUAACAACUCGUUUGGUAGUUGGUAAUAAAUGAUAGUAAUAAAAAUGAAAUUUACUGUAAUUUUGGUUAAAAAGUCUCUUGACUACCUUGAUGGUCAUACAUUAACAUUAGGAGAGGUUGUAUUAGAUGGUAAUGAAAAUUUGUAAACAAAAAGCUUUGUUGCAAUCAAAAGUUUCAUCAUCAUGAGAAUUACAUGAAACUUUUGAUGUAAAAUAACUCUUUCAAUAGCUACGGAGAUCAUCUCUUGGUGAAACGAUUUUAAUACAAGUUCUUAUGCUAGUAAUUGUAUUAAUUGAGUUAUGCAGCCUAUGUAUUAAAAAGCAUCUCAUAAUAAGACCGUCUUACACAAAAAUUUGCGUUUUUUUCAAUAUGUUUUAGGCGUCUUUUUUUUAUUGGCUUGGCAACCUCUAAAAACUAGCCUCGAGUGUAACGCAUAUACUAACCAUAUUGAUUCGUUUUGAUCUUAUAAAUGCAAAAUUUUUAUUCUUUCAAUAUUAUUUUCUCCUCUAAUUUUUGAAUGCUUUUGGAUUUGAUUCUCAUAACCUUGCAAAAAAAAUUUGUUUAAUUUCUCCUUGGCUUUAUCCCAAAUCAAAGAUCAAAAAAUUAUUUUAUAAAUGGGCAACAACGACAUUUAAUAUUUGUAAGUACAAGUGCUUGAUUCUACACUUGAACAAUUUUGAUAUAUUUACCUUGAUCUUUAUAUAUCUUAAAAUCCUCAAUUGAUUAGUGGAAUUUUAUUUAAUAUUCCGAAUAAUUAAUUGUUGAAACCUAAGAAAAAGAACGGGAAAUGUCGCAUUUGCGAUUCCAAUUGUUAAAAAACAAGUUGAUGACAUAAUGUUGUCAUUACAUUACAUUGCAAUGAUAGUUUUUUAUGGGAAAUUUUACAUAGUUGCAUCUAGUUUUCAAGAAACGUCAGUGAUAGUAUUUUUGUAAGAUUUUUCACAUAGUAGCAUUCAAUUUAUGCACUAUCUAACUGCCGUAGAAUUUUCCGUUAAAUUCUUGUUAAUUUCUGUUUAAUUCAUUAUUUUGUAAGAUUUUUCUACAUGGUAGCAUCCAAUAUUUGCUCUCAAAUGUUUAAUUCACUAUUUAAACGUUUAAUUCACCGAUUAAUUUAUCAAUACCCUUAAAUGUAGUAACAAUUUUAUUUUCAUUCAAAUUAUUGGCAUUAUAAAGUUCAAAAGGUGCAUUACAAACACUAAUAAAUAAUUCAAAAGACGCAUUUUAUAAGCUCAAAAGGUGCUUUUCAUAAGUUCAAAAGUGCAUUCCAAGCACUAAUACAUAUCUACUUGAUCGUUAUAAUAUUUAAGAGCGUUGAUAAAUUAAUCGAUGAAUUAAACUUAAAAUAGUGAAUUAAAUAUUUGAGAGCAAAAACUAUGUGCUACCAUAUGGAAAAAUCUUACAAAAUUAUGAAUUAAAUGGAAAUUAACGAGAAUUUAACAGAAAAUGGUACGGCAGUUAGAUAAUGUAUAGAUUGGAUGCUACCAUGUGGAAAAAUCUUACAAAAGUGCUACCAAUAGCGUUUCAUGAAAACUGAAUGCUAACAUGUGGAAUUUCCCUUUUUUAUAUACUCUCUCCUAUUUACCCAAAGUGUUCUAUUUACUUUUUUGCACUAUUUAUCUGUUACUCUUAAUUUCUAUUUUAUUUUUAAUCUAUAAUUUAAAACGUAGUCAAUAAGAAUCUUGUUUGAUUCGUCCCAAUGCAAGGAUUAUUCAUAUCAACUUUUCAUAAUUUUUAAUUAUGUUCAAUUAGAGAUAUUUAGGAUAGAAUAUGUGUAUUAGAUAGAGUGCAUAAAUUAAAUGAAACACUUGUGAUAAAUCAAAUGAUAUAGUGACAAUGAGUAUUCUAAUGGUAAGAGUCAACUGUGGUUUAGAAUUCCCUAGCAUAAAUAACACAUGUUAUUGGAUUCAAGGCACAUCCAUGAAAUCUAUAGAUUGGUAGUUUGAGAUGCGAAAAGAGGGGUGUUUAGAGCUAACAAUAAUAAGAAGUGAUGUAGAAGAUAAUGAAAAACAGAAUUUAGACAAUAGAAAAGACAAACAAUAAACACAAUAAACACAAAAUAUAUAUAGAGACUAUUGAUGAUAAGAAAGUGUUGUUAGGAGAUUCUCACAAUGCUAAGUGAUAAGUGUAGUAUUUUAUACUUAUUUCAUCUUUUUCAUGGUUUAUCGAGACCUUUACUUAGCGUUUUGAGGUUGAAUGUGGUUGAGAUUUUCUAAUUUGAGUUCAUUUGCCUCUACAUUCCGUUUUGUGCCUUAUUGUUCCAUGUUCGAGUUAUUCAAGAAGAAUUUCUUGUUAUCUUGGUGGUAAACCAUGUUUUGUGAGCCUCAAUGAUCCAUCAUUACAUAGUUUGACACUAUAUGGUAGCUCAUGAAUACUUUGAUCAAAGACGAGGAGAGUUCAAGAACUACUUGAUUGAUUUUCAAGCCAUUGGAGUAUUCUAUGACCAAUAUCGGCCAAGAUUAACCUAGAUUUGGUCGAGAUUAUGUUGAAUUAGGGUUCUGGUUGUUCUGCCAAAAGUUUUGGUUAAAGUUGUUGAAGAAUUCUGGCGACGUUAUUAGCAUUCAGGCGAGAGUGUUCAGCUUCGGUUGAAGCUCAAUUGAAGGCAAGUUCCUAGGCUUACCAUUGGCAAUCUCGGGCAAACUCAACAGCAGAUUUGCGCGAUAUCUAUAGAGUUCGGCCGAGAUCAGGCUUCAAUUCGGCCGAAAUUGGGUUCUGUUGUUCCUCUGCUUCUUUUCCUUCCACUUUCAAAAGGCAUGAUAUAAAUAGCUUUUGGUUUUAGGUUUUAAGGGGUUACUUUAGAAUACAAUUAAAACCUGAAUCUCAUUUUAAGUUUUGUUAAUCUCCUCUUAAUCUUGCUUUUAUCUUAAUUAGUGUUUAAUUCCUUUAAGUAAUUUAUGUCUUUCCCCAUUAUUAAACCUUGAUUUUCUCCAUUUCAACUCUUCAUUUUUUCAACUUCAUUGUAUAGUUUUCAUCAAUCUCGUUGGAACUUCAAUAAUCUAAGGAGGUCUCAAGGACUAUCGAAUCAUCAAUUCUACCCAAAUAUUGAAUAUGUCCUGUAUAUGUAACGGUCAGCAGAGAAAAGAAGGCGGGAAAUUGAAACUUCGGGUGUCCUAAUUCUUAAUCCAUCACCCCUUCGUCAUUUCCUAAAUCAUAUGUUCCUAAAUUAGCAUGUAUGUCCAACGUUUCACCACAGCCCUUUGGCCACAUGGGGAGACCUUUUCCCGCUUAUUCCACCGCAUCAUGUAUUUUCAAGCCUGCAAUAGCCAAUACUUUUGAAGUCCGCUCUCACCUUGUACGACUGAUUGAGAGAAAACAAUUUAGGAGUUCACCUUUAAAAAGCCUGCCUGAUCAUUUAUCUGAUUUGUUAGAGAAGUGUGACACAAUUAACAUCAACAAUGUCUACAAAGACGCUGUAAGAUUAAGACUCUUCCCAUUUCGCGUAAGAGAAAAAGUAAAGACUUAGCUUAAGUCAGAACCUCUAAAUAAGUACUUUUAAUCCACUCUAUACCCAGUUGGCUUCUAAUCAAGUACUUUUACUCCGGGAUUCAUGAUGAAUACAGGCUCACCAUCAAUGCUGCAUAUAGUGGUGAUAUGAGCUCCAUAAUAACAGAAUAUUAGGUGCUCACCUUGCUCGAAACAAUUGUUUAAAACUCAACCUUAUGGGGUAAUGUACGAGAGUCGAUAGUACCAUCUUCAACCAAAUUUGAUGGAGAUGUAAGUAAAGCUAUAACCAUUUCGAUAGCUAGGGUGUAAUCUUCAAAAGGCUAGUCAUUCCCUUUCUCAUGUUAUGUAUGUUACAUGCGGCUUGGGUACUCAUAAUUCUGAUGCAUGUCUUACCAUUGCUCCAGCACAAGAGGAGGUAAAGGCUCUGUUUAACAAAUAGCCCCUACCUCUCAUAUUCAUCUACAAAUGUGCAAAACCUGUAAAACAUUGUGCCUACCACUACACAAUCUGCCUGAUUUCCCUGAUAAGUCUCCACAACCUGCCGUUCGUUUACCAAUGCAACAAUUUCCACCACAGAAGGAAGAAUUAAGUAUUGCUUUUGAUUCUAUGGUUGAAGCAUGCAAUGGUAAUAACAUUUUAACAUCCUUUUUCUCCUCUUCCUAUCAUGUCCAAGACUUAUCCACAGGACACUAAACCACCUAGGGAACGCUUAUCUUGGUGUUUACCAUUGGUCUUCCAACUAUCACUCUCUACACAUGGCACACACUACCUAUUAUAUAAUUUGACAUUACCGACUUGGGCAUUUGUCUACAAAUAUUCAGAAACAUCUAGCUAGUUCUUUCUGUACGAAGGUAUAUACUAGAAUUGAUUUUGUGUUAUUCUAAUUUAUCUUAUAUUUAUUUAGUUUCCUAGAAUUGUUUCUUAAUACUUGUACAUACCAAGACUUGUAUCUCUUAUCGGAAUUCAAUAAAAAUAGUAUUCAAACAAAAACAUAAA